rnacentral:rRNA from 1 species
GAUAACAGUUAGAAAUGACUGCUAAUACCGCAUAAGACCACAGCACCGCAUGGUGCAGGGGUAAAAACUCCGGUGGUAUGAGAUGGACCCGCGUCUGAUUAGGUAGUUGGUGGGGUAACGGCCUACCAAGCCGACGAUCAGUAGCCGACCUGAGAGGGUGACCGGCCACAUUGGGACUGAGACACGGCCCAAACUCCUACGGGAGGCAGCAGUGGGGAAUAUUGCACAAUGGGGGAAACCCUGAUGCAGCGACGCCGCGUGAGCGAUGAAGUAUUUCGGUAUGUAAAGCUCUAUCAGCAGGGAAGAAAAUGACGGUACCUGACUAAGAAGCACCGGCUAAAUACGUGCCAGCAGCCGCGGUAAUACGUAUGGUGCAAGCGUUAUCCGGAUUUACUGGGUGUAAAGGGAGCGUAGACGGAGUGGCAAGUCUGAUGUGAAAACCCGGGGCUCAACCCCGGGACUGCAUUGGAAACUGUCAAUCUGGAGUACCGGAGAGGUAAGCGGAAUUCCUAGUGUAGCGGUGAAAUGCGUAGAUAUUAGGAGGAACACCAGUGGCGAAGGCGGCUUACUGGACGGUAACUGACGUUGAGGCUCGAAAGCGUGGGGAGCAAACAGGAUUAGAUACCCUGGUAGUCCACGCCGUAAACGAUGACUACUAGGUGUCGGGCAGCAAAGCUGUUCGGUGCCGCAGCAAACGCAAUAAGUAGUCCACCUGGGGAGUACGUUCGCAAGAAUGAAACUCAAAGGAAUUGACGGGGACCCG